rnacentral:rRNA from 1 species
GCUACGGGAGGCAGCAGUGAGGAAUAUUGGUCAAUGGACGAGAGUCUGAACCAGCCAAGUAGCGUGAAGGAUGACUGCCCUAUGGGUUGUAAACUUCUUUUAUAAAGGAAUAAAACGAGGCACGUGUGCCUUUUUGCAUGUACUUUAUGAAUAAGGAGCGGCUAACUCCGUGCCAGCAGCCGCGGUAAUACGGAGGAUCCGAGCGUUAUCCGGAUUUAAUGGGUUUAAAGGGAGCGUAGAUGGGUUUUUAAGUCAGUUGUGAAAGUUUGCGGCUCAACCAUAAAAUUGCAAUUGAUACUGGCAGUCUUGAGUACAGUUGAGGUAGGCGGAAUUCGUGGUGUAGCGGUGAAAUGCUUAGAUAUCACGAAGAACCCCGAUUGCGAAGGCAGCUUACUAAACUGUGACUGACAUUGAUGCUCGAAAGUGUGGGUAUCAAACAGGAUUAGAUACCCUAGUAGUC